UGAGAAACCUGUCCCGGUCUCUGGAAUAACAGUCGGAAACGACUGCUAAUACCGGAUGCCGUCGGAGCGUCGCAUGGCGCGCUGACGAAAGGGCUACCGGAUCGGGAGGGUCUCGCGGCCUAUCAGCUUGUUGGUGAGGUAACGGCUCACCAAGGCAUCGACGGGUAGCUGGUCUGAGAGGAUGAUCACGCCACACGUGGGACUGAGACGACCGGCCCAGACCUCGUAACGGGGA
rnacentral:rRNA from 1 species